UAAGUAUAGAACAGUGGGCAGUGGCUGAAAGUGAACAUGCUCACUUUUAAAUCAGAGCUCUCUGGAAAAUCAGCUGGCAAGACAUGGGCCCAAUAAGAGCAGAACUGAUGGAGCACAAUGGAAGAAAUGCGGACAGCAUUCCCAAUGAGUUCAUUAGGAGCUUUGUCUGUGUAAGUAAGUAUUGCAGGGUUAGGUGCAUUAAUAUUAAAAGACUGAGCUGGAAGAAUCAAAUCACCACAAAGGGACUCUCCUAUUCACUACUCACCACAGAAGAAUAGUCUCAGGGUCUGAAAUAAAUGUCUAGUGAAGAAUUAGUUUACAGCAGAAAACUGAAUCAGAUUCAAGAGGAAUUAUGAUGUCAGAGGGAAAGGAACCAGCUAGCUAAGCUCCAGCAGAGGUCAGAGUGUACAGCUGUGGUGGGGGAGCCAAUGACAGCCCAGGCAUCAGCCACUCUUUCAGGGAUCCUGGAAUCUGGACCAAGGGACUUUUCUGUAUGGCUGAUUGGAGACCUACAUGGCUGAAGCCAGACUUUCCUGUGAAUCCCCAAUCUUACACUGGCACCACAUAUGACUCCCUGCACUUCUCUCGUGUAAGUCUGCAGCUGAAAGGAGGAUGCAGAGAAGAGAAACCACCCUCAACCUGGAAAAGGGCAUUGCCCAUAUUCAGCUGGAUCUCCCUGUCUGGACGGUUUAGCGCACAGAUGAGAUGGCAAAAGCCUUCAUGUAUCUCCUUUUCCUGAGUCUUGUUCAGGUCAAAGGGGAAAAACAUAUUUACAAUCCUUAGGCGGCAGGCACCAGAACUGAGAGCAGGACAAUUCCUGGGCUGUCAAUAUUCCUCCUGCUGGAAUCCAGACAGCAUGCAGAAAAAGGAGGAUGGCGCAGAUGUAGAAGGGUGAGGAAAGGAGUGUGGGAGCCUUUCAUGCUUUGUCAAGAUAGUGGAUAAUUGUAAUUUUAAUUAACAGGUCUUCAAAAUUAUAAUGUGCUAGAAAACACAGAUACAGUUCCCCACACAGAGUUCAUUAGAUUUUUAGUACCAAUCAUUUCUUCGUACAAUUUCCUAAAAUGCAUUAAAAACAGAAUGUGCACUAACUGGUCAUGUUGACAACAAUCUCUCUUUAAGAGGCAAAACCAAAUGGCUUCCCAUUAAAUUUAGUUCCCAUUUCAGCCAGACUUCCUCUGUCAGAGAAUUCAGUUCUGUUCAUCCCCUGAUGACUGCCUCUGUCAGAUUUACUAUACAGAACUGACUGUUUUCUAUAUUUGCUACAAAUUCACCCAUAAACUAAACUGCAUAUAACAUGAAUUCAAAAUGUCAGGAAAAAUUAAUACCGUACUUACAGUCAUUCAAAAGGAUCCUGUCAUGCCCAGCUGAUCUGCACUUCUCGUUGCUGUAUUAUUUACUACUAAACAGUAUUAAACGGAGUGUCUUAUAGUAAAUACGAUUCUGAUCAAAUAAAAAAUAUCAGAAAGAAUAUAGAGUAAACAAUAAGGCAGUUUGUUUUUCUGAACACCUACAGCCAGAUGCCCACUCUCCAGUACAGAAUGGAGCCAAUGCUAAGGGAAGGAAGGGAUCUGGGCAUCAUAUAGAUGGGAGCAGUGACUAAGCCACUUGCUGUUCCCCAGCUUUUCGGUUUGUUUAUGCAUAAUUAGAGCUUCACUGAAACGAGGAACCCAUGCCCACAAGCAGCUGCCCGAACACUAUGGUUCCCUGGGACAGGCACUAAAUUUCAUUUCCAAAAAGCCACACAGGUUACUAUUGCUCAGAUGAGCGUUAUUUUCCAGAAGAUAGGAUUGGUAGGGUCCGCGUUGGGAGAGAGGGAGCCAAUAGCAUGGGAAUCUGCCAUGCUGAUGAGAGGAAACUGUUCCCUGGAAUCGAUAAAGAGAGGCUUCUUCACCCAUCUGAUUGGAGAGCCACAUUACUGGGGCUCGCCGUCCAUCUGGCACUGCAAUCCUCGUCCCCAUUGUCUCAUCUCUAGAUAUCAAUAUCGCCCCCAAAGAGGAGUCGAUGGAGAUGCACCACACUGAACCCUGUUCCACAAGAACGAUUUGCCCUUCUCACAUGUUUUUACAUAGGAGAGUGUGAUCGAGACCCUAAAUUCCUGUUUAUGCAUGCCCUGCAUGUGAUCUUGUCCAUGUUAGACAUGACAGUCAAGCUCUUAAUGUGAUUUGAACUGGGAUUUUAACAAUUUCCUUUACACCAAAACUCUAACACUGGGCCUUCUGAUUAUAUAAAAUACUACAACCUGCAGCACCACUCCAAGUAGUCAGGAACCACCACAGAUAAAAAUGUAAGCUUCAGUCCUGCAAGGAGUUACACAUCUACUGAAUUUUAAGCAUGUGAGUAAUAAUGAAUAUUCAUGUGCUUAAAGAUAAACCUGUUUUUCGGUCUUUGCUAGAUCAGGCCAUAAGCCAAUAAGUAAUAAAAAUAAAAAUAUUCAAAAGAAUGACACUUCAAAGAAAUGGAAAUAUUUCAUGGAGACAUGUCAAUUUGUUAGAAGUUGUAUAUGUUUCAAUUAAAAGUUUUUAAAUUUUUCUAAUAUUUUUUUACUCGCAUCUCAUUUUUUUUGGUAAUUUUUUUGCCAACUUUUUUUCCAGUGUGUGAGGGGAUGGGGAGGGGGAGCAGAAAAGUGAGAGAAAGUGAGAUUUUUCUCCAGAAAAUUGAAAUUAAGUUUUGUGUAUUCUUUUGAAAAAAUUCUUUUAGAAAAUUAUCACACAUACACACACAAAUUCAUAAAAAAGUGAAUGAAACAAGAAAAGUAUUAGAGUAUAAUUAACUCCUAUAGCUAGUUCAUUAUAGUCUAAGUACCCAGGCAGAGAUGCACCAAUACUGCCAGGAAGAGCAAUCAUUCCAGCAAUCUGAACAGAAUAAAUCACAGGUCAAGGAAGAUGCAGUUAGCUUUAGGGUUCGUAUGCAUAGGGCUCCCCAUCCUAAGGUUGGGGAGUCCUAUGAGUACUUGGAGCAAGGGUUAGGGUUCCUAUGGGCAGGGACCCUUGUGCUAAGGUUAGGGUUCCUUUGAUUAGGGUACUUGGAGUUAGGGUUCCUCUGGAUAGGGCUCCCCAUCCUGGGGUAAGAGUUCCUAUAGUUAGGGUACUUGGAGCUAUAGUUAGGGAGUGUAGGGGUAGGAUGCUUGUAGCUAGGCUUAGGUUCUUAUAGGUAGGCUUCCCUGCAAUAGGAUUAUGAUUCAGAGUUAGGAUUCUUAGGGGUAGGGGACUUGGAGCUAGGGUUAGGGUUCCUAUGGUGUCAUAACUAUAAAGGGAAGGGUAACAGCCCUCCUGUGUACAA